rnacentral:rRNA from 1 species
UGAGUCCUACGGGGGGCAGCAGUGAGGAAUAUUGGUCAAUGGGCGGGAGCCUGAACCAGCCAAGUCGCGUGAGGGAAGACGGUCCUAUGGAUUGUAAACCUCUUUAGGCGGGGAGCAAUGCCGGGCACCCGUGCCCGGAGGGAGAGUACCCGCAGAAUAAGCAUCGGCUAACUCCGUGCCAGCAGCCGCGGUAAUACGGAGGAUGCGAGCGUUAUCCGGAUUUAUUGGGUUUAAAUGGUGCGUAGGCGGAUUUUUAAGUCAGCGGUAAAAUGUCCGGGCUCAUCCCGGGCCGGCCGUAUAAACUG